rnacentral:rRNA from 1 species
UACGAAGUGGGCUAGCGUUGUUCGGAUUUACUGGGCGUAAAGCGCAUGGAGGCGGGCCGAUAACGUGGGGGUGAAAUCCCGGCGCUCAACUCCGGAACUGCCUCCAAAACUAUCGGCCUGGAGCAGAAGAGAGGCGAGUGGAAUUCCGAGUGUAGAGGUGAAAUUCGUAGAUAUUCGGAGGAACACCAGUGGCGAAGGCGACUCGCUGGCUUCUUGCUGACGAUGAGAUGCGAAAGCGUGGGGAGCAAACAGG